rnacentral:rRNA from 1 species
UACGGAGGGUGCAAGCGUUAUCCGGAUUCACUGGGUUUAAAGGGUGCGUAGGCGGGCAGGUAAGUCCGUGGUGAAAUCUCUGAGCUUAACUCAGAGACUGCCAUGGAUACUAUUUGUCUUGAAUAUUGUGGAGGCAAGCGGAAUAUGUCAUGUAGCGGUGAAAUGCUUAGAUAUGACAUAGAACACCCAUUGCGAAGGCAGCUUGCUACACAAUGAUUGACGCUGAGGCACGAAAGCGUGGGGAUCAAACAGG